UAGGGAAUAUUGCUCAAUGGGCGAAAGCCUGAAGCAGCAACGCCGCGUGGAGGAUGAAGGUUUUAGGAUUGUAAACUCCUUUUGUUAGAGAAGAUUAUGACGGUAUCUAACGAAUAAGCACCGGCUAACUCCGUGCCAGCAGCCGCGGUAAUACGGAGGGUGCAAGCGUUACUCGGAAUCACUGGGCGUAAAGAGCGCGUAGGCGGGAUAGUAAGUCAGAUGUGAAAUCCUGUAGCUUAACUACAGAACUGCAUUUGAAACUGCUAUUCUAGAGUAUGGGAGAGGUAGGUGGAAUUCUUGGUGUAGGGGUAAAAUCCGUAGAGAUCAAGAGGAAUACUCAUUGCGAAGGCGACCUGCUGGAACAUUACUGACGCUGAUGCGCGAAAGCGUGGGGAGCAAA
rnacentral:rRNA from 1 species